AGUAGCCGCGGUAAAACGAAGGGUGCAAGCGUUAAUCGGAAUUACUGGGCGUAAAGCGUGCGUAGGCGGUGAGUUAAGUCUGCUGUGAAAUCCCCGGGCUCAACCUGGGAAUGGCAGUGGAUACUGGCUCGCUAGAGUGUGUCAGAGGAUGGUGGAAUUCCCGGUGUAGCGGUGAAAUGCGUAGAGAUCGGGAGGAACAUCAGUGGCGAAGGCGGCCAUCUGGGACAACACUGACGCUGAGGCACGAAAGCGUGGGGAGCAAACAGGAUUAGAUACCCCGGUAGUCCCUGUCUCUUAUACA
rnacentral:rRNA from 1 species